UGCACAACUCUUUUUUCAUAUCAGAAAAAGCUUACUGUAAAGACUGACACAGACAGGUGCAAAAAAUAAAUCCUCUUUUGCAACCCAGAACUCAUUCUUCAGUAUGAGUUUUGAUAUACAUACAUAUAUAUC
ensembl:snoRNA